UUGCUCGCUUCGGCAGCACAUAUACUAAAAUUGGAAUGAUACAGAGAAGAUUAGCAUGGCCCCUGAGCAACGAUGACACGCAAAUUCAUGAAGAGUUCUAGUAUCAC